ACUCCUGCGGGAGGCAGCAGUGGGGAAUUUUGGACAAUGGGCGAAAGCCUGAUCCAGCAAUGCCGCGUGAGUGAAGAAGGCCUUCGGGUUGUAAAGCUCUUUUGUCAGGGAAGAAACGGUGAAAGCUAAUAUCUUUUGCUAAUGACGGUACCUGAAGAAUAAGCACCGGCUAACUACGUGCCAGCAGCCGCGGUAAUACGUAGGGUGCAAGCGUUAAUCGGAAUUACUGGGCGUAAAGCGUGCGCAGGCGGUUUUGUAAGUCUGAUGUGAAAUCCCCGGGCUCAACCUGGGAAUUGCAUUGGAGACUGCAAGGCUAGAAUCUGGCAGAGGGGGGUAGAAUUCCACGUGUAGCAGUGAAAUGCGUAGAUAUGUGAAGGAACACCGAUGGCGAAGGCAGCCCCCUGGGUCAAGAUUGACGCUCAUGCACGAAAGCGUGGGGAGCAAACAGGAUUAGAAACCCCAGUAGUCCCAUGAU
rnacentral:rRNA from 1 species